AAUCUUCAACCUGCAAGCUUAUGUGGUUUGUAGGCUUGGACUUGGAGGCUUUGUCGGCCAUGCCCGGUCGGCUCCUCUCAAAUGCAUUAGCUUGGUUUCUUGCGGAUCGGCUCUUGGUGUGAUAAUGUCUACGCCGUGACCGUGAAGCGUUUGGCAAGCUUCUAAUCGUCUUGGUUAGAGACAGCUUUAUGAC
rnacentral:misc_RNA from 1 species